AAAGCCACACAGGGGAGACACCAUGAUCACGAAGGUGGUUUUCCCAGGGUGAGACUCACCCAUUGCACUCUGUGUGUGCUGACCCCUGCGAUUUCUCCAAAUGUAGGAAACUCAACUGCCUAAUUUGUGGUAGUGGGGCUUCAUGCUAUCCCCUG
rnacentral:snRNA from 1 species